rnacentral:rRNA from 1 species
GACGAACCGUACGAACGUUAUUCGGAAUUACUGGGCUUAAAGGGUGCGUAGGCGGCGCAGUAAGUUGGGUGUGAAAUCCCUCGGCUUAACCGAGGAAUUGCGCCCAAAACUACUGUGCUCGAGGGAGGUGGAGGUGAGCGGAACUUAGGGUGGAGCGGUGAAAUGCGUUGAUAUCCUAAGGAACACCGGUGGCGAAAGCGGCUCACUGGACCUCUUCUGACGCUGAGGCGCGAAAGCUAGGGGAGCAAACAGG